CUCCCAGACAGGCUGGGUUCUAAAUCAGGACCACAGCUCCAGCCUGUCCUGCUCUGGAUCCGCCCCGAUUCCCGAGACGCGUUCCAGGAACAGAAACGCUAAGUAACUGUCCUAAGCCACACAGCCAGCCAGCUCUGACCCCAGGAGGUCGCCCCACUCCGGGCUGCUGUCCGCGGGCGGGCGGCGCUGUCCUCCCCGGGCUCCAAUUUACAUAGGGUUUUUAAAGGCGGAAACUGAAUCCAGGCACGUUGCUGGACAGCUGGACCGGGGGCCUUCGCAGAGUGAGCAGUUUGAAGCAGUUUGAAGCAAGCAGGAGACUAAGACAAGUGUUUAGCCCGAGGGGCGUCCACAUGAACUCCCAGUUUUAACAGAAACUAAGUUAGCUGGGGCAUCCUGAUCUUUGGUUCCUAGAACAGAGCUGGGUAAACUCCUACAGGAUUCCCCAUCAAGGAGAUCAAAUUCUAGUUAAACCGGAAAUGGCCGUGGCGAGAACACGAGACGAGGAACCUCUGCACCGUCCUGUCCUGUCCUGUUUCGUCACCGUGUGGCCCAGGCUGGACUCCUGCCGCAGCCUCCCAGUGUUGGCGUUACCGAUAACAUUACUGUAUGAAUCUAGUGAGUUGACACCUGCCAGGAGUCACGAGGCAGACCCUUAGUAACACUGCGAUGAGACUGGGUGACUCCCAAACCGCCCCCACACGUCUCCAGACUCAGUUUCCCCAUCUGGUGUUUUCCAUGUCUCGCCCUGCCAUUUGCUCUCCCUUCUCCUGGUGCUGCUGGCCUGGACAAGAUCCUUGAAUAAAAGCCUUCGCCCUCUU